GUAUAAGCGAACUUAUACAGUGAAACUGCGGAUGGCUCAUUAAAACAGUUUGAAUUUAUUUGAUGAAUGUAUGAGAAUACUACUUGGAUAACCGUAGUAAUUCUAGAGCUAAUACAUGCAACGACGCCCGACCGUUUCACUACGGAAGGGCUGUAUUUAUUGGAUACCAAAACCAUCCUUCCCUCGGGAAGUUUUGUUUGAUGAUUCACAAUAACUGAUCGGAUCGCCACUGUGGUGGCGACAGGUCAUUCAACAUUCUGCCCUAUCAGCUUUCGAUGGUUGUGUAGUGGACAACCAUGGCCAUAACGGGUAACGGAGAAUCAGGGUUCGAUUCCGGAGAAGGAGCUUGAGAAUUGGCUACUACAUCUAAGGAAGGCAGCAGGCGCGCAAAUUACCCAAUCCCGAUUCGGGGAGGUAGUGACAAAAAAUAACAAUACCGGGCCUUUUUGGGCUUGGUAAUUGGAAUGAGGGAGAGUUAAACGGACCAUCGAGUAUCCAUUGGAGGGCAAGUCUGGUGCCAGCAGCUGCGGUAAUACCAGCUCCAAUAGCGUAUAUUAAAGUUGUUGCAGUUAAAAAGCUCGUAGUUGGACUUGUGUGCGCUGUCCGCGGGUGGCCUGCGCCCAAAAGGGCGUUUCGGUUCGGCCCCGGUGGCGCCUUGAAAUCUGCAGCUGGGGGGACGUUGGCCUUAACUGGUCGGCGACCGCACGCCGGCUGCUCGGUUACUGUGAGAAAAUUAGAGUGUUCAAGGCAGGCAUUGGGUGCAAUUGAAUACAUUAGCAUGGAAUAAUAAAAUAUGGCUCCUGCCGUAUUUUGUUGGUUUUGACUGGUGGGAGUAAUGAUUGAUAGGGACGGUUGGGGGUGCUAGUAUUGAGCGGCCAGAGGUGAAAUUCAUGGAUUCGCUCAAGACUAACUUAUGCGAAAGCAUUCACCAAGGACGUCCUCUUUAAUCAAGAACGAAAGUUGGGGAUCGAAGACGAUCAGAUACCGUCGUAGUCUCAACCAUAAACUAUGUCGACUUGGGAUCGGCGGUAGUUUUUUCAUUAAGACACUGUCGGGACCACGGGAGAAAUCAAAGUGUCUGGACUCUGGGGGAAGUAUGGUCGCAAGGCUGAAACUUGAAGGAAUUGACGGAAGGGCACCACCAGGAGUGGAGCCUGCGGCUUAAUUUGACCCAACACGGGGAAACUUACCAGGUCCAGAGAUGUAGAGGAUUGACAGAUUGAAGCUCUUUCUUGAUCACUUCGGUGGUGGUGCAUGGCCGUUCUUAGUUGGUGGAGUGAUUUGUCUGGUUAAUUCCGUUAAC
rnacentral:rRNA from 1 species